rnacentral:rRNA from 1 species
GACGAACGCUGGCGGCGUGCCUAAUACAUGCAAGUAGAACGCUGAAGGAGGAGCUUGCUUCUCUGGAUGAGUUGCGAACGGGUGAGUAACGCGUAGGUAACCUGCCUGGUAGCGGGGGAUAACUAUUGGAAACGAUAGCUAAUACCGCAUAAGAGUAGAUGUCGCAUGACAUUUGCUUAAAAGGUGCAAUUGCAUCACUACCAGAUGGACCUGCGUUGUAUUAGCUAGUUGGUGAGGUAACGGCUCACCAAGGCAACGAUACAUAGCAGACCUGAGAGGGUGAUCGGCCACACUGGGACUGAGACACGGCCCAGACUCCUACGGGAGGCAGCAGUAGGGAAUCUUCGGCAAUGGACGGAAGUCUGACCGAGCAACGCCGCGUGAGUGAAGAAGGUUUUCGGAUCGUAAAGCUCUGUUGUAAGAGAAGAACGAGUGUGAGAGUGGAAAGUUCACACUGUGACGGUAUCUUACCAGAAAGGGACGGCUAACUACGUG